GCCAGACUCCUACGGGAGGCAGCAGUGAGGAAUAUUGGUCAAUGGCCGAGAGGCUGAACCAGCCAAGUCGCGUGAGGGAAGACUGCCCUAUGGGUUGUAAACCUCUUUUGUCAGGGAGCAAUUGGCGCUACGUGUAGCGUUAUCGAGAGUACCUGAAGAAAAAGCAUCGGCUAACUCCGUGCCAGCAGCCGCGGUAAUACGGAGGAUGCGAGCGUUAUCCGGAUUUAUUGGGUUUAAAGGGUGCGUAGGCGGGCGGUUAAGUCAGCGGUCAAAUGUCGGGGCUCAACCCCGGCCUGCCGUUGAAACUGGCGGCCUCGAGUGGGCGAGAAGUAUGCGGAAUGCGUGGUGUAGCGGUGAAAUGCAUAGAUAUCACGCAGAACUCCGAUUGCGAAGGCAGCAUACCGGCGCCCGACUGACGCUGAGGCACGAAAGCGUGGGUAUCGAACAGGAUUAGAUACCCUUGUAC
rnacentral:rRNA from 1 species